GGAGCGGCCGUGGCGGUGUUCGCUUUCUAAGCGAAUGGUCCUGGGUUCGAUUCCCAUCUGCUCCC
rnacentral:tRNA from 2 species